rnacentral:rRNA from 1 species
UGGGGAAUAUUGGACAAUGGGCGAAAGCCUGAUCCAGCCAUGCCGCGUGAGUGACGAAGGCCUUAGGGUUGUAAAACUCUUUCGUCGGGGACGAUAAUGACGGUACCCGAAGAAGAAGCUCCGGCUAACUUCGUGCCAGCAGCCGCGGUAAUACGAAGGGAGCUAGCGUUGUUCGGAAUCACUGGGCGUAAAGCGCACGUAGGCGGAUAGUUAAGUCAGGGGUGAAAUCCUGGGGCUCAACCCCAGAACUGCCUUCAAAACUGGCGACCUGGACCUAAGUAGAGGCAAGUGGAAUUGCGAGUGUAGAGGUGAAAUUCGUAGAUAUUCGCAGGAACACCAGUGGCGAAGGCGACUUGCUGGACUUAUGGUGACGCUGAGACGCGAAAGCGUGGGGAGCAAACAGGAUUAGAUACCCAAGUAGUCCCUGAGCGGGCUGGCAAGGCGCAU